AUGACCGACACGAAGCCGGCCAGCAGCGCCGAGGCCAGCAGCGCCAAGAACCGCCCGUAGCCCUCCAUCUUCCGAGCCCCAACGUUCAGCUGGCUCUGAAGCCUGUCCGACGGAGCAGGAGGAUACGGCCAAACAUACAUUCAGCGCUGCUUUUCUGGUAUUCGAUUAGCUUACUUUUGAGACAUACAUAGUGUCAAAAUACAUAAGGAUUAGAAAUGCAUUAAUUGAGAGAAAAAAACCCUACUGUCCUCUCUGGCUAGUCUUUGAGCUGUCUGGUAUCUUAUGCUCGAAUUGAAGCUUAAAAAAUGAAAGGAAACAGUUUUAGGGAACUUAAAAUAGCUUCAGUAGAAUAACUGCCAAUUACAAACCCAGUGCUUACCGAAGUGUUGGAAACAUCUACACAGAGACAUGAAGACCAAGCCAGAUUGGAGUGGGAUGCAAAUAUACUUCAUCAUUCUCUCUAAUCUCUGAAAAAUAGAUGUUGGUCCCCGACGUCAGCUUGAGCAUCACUUGCGUAAUGAUGUUCAGCUUUAAUUUGCAUGGAUUUGGUGUGACCUGUUCUCAGCAUUUAAGUAGCUGCUCAUCCUAGUCACAAUGGUAACUAGAACAUUGCUAUUGUUCAGGUUCACAAGUCACAGCAUCUAAAAGAAGUCAAGAUCCAAGCCCUGAACCUGCUGAUGAAUGCACUCGUGUGAACUUCCAAGGAUGCCAGCUUGUCAGUAGCUCAUGAGGCAAGCAGGUCGUCUCAAUAUUAUGUUUAUAAAAAUUUUACUGAGUUUUCUGUGGACUGCUUAAAUGAAGUUAAAAAUAUAUUUUUCUCUACUUUUCUGGAAUCCUUUACUCAUUGUCUCUUAAACCAUCAAAUUGUCUCUGUUGUAUUUUCAAAAAUUUAAUGUUUAGUUAUAGAGUAUUGUAAAAGCUUCAGAUUUGUGUUGAAAUGUUACAUAUCACAAAGCCUCAGUUUCAUACUGCUUGUCAAUUCCAUACAGGGAAUCACAAAAUGAUUACAUGUAAUUAAAAAAAAAAGGAUUCAUAGGACCCCAAAUGUGUCUAUUCUUUCCGGUUACAUGAUGUGGUCUAACAAAAUGCCUUUUGUCAUUGUAAAGCCUACAAACUAACAUAAAAUAUUUAUUGUAAUCUGCA